rnacentral:tRNA from 1 species
GUCCCUGUAAGGCAAUGGAUAGCGCUUUGGAUUUCUCAUUCAAAGGUCGUGGGUUCGAAUCCCACCUGGGAUG